CCGUCUGGAUCAGUGCCCCUCAUCCCACUGCCGCAUACUCUCGUUAGUCUGGCGUGUGGGGCCACUCCAACAGAUGCUUCUUCCCCGCGGACUCGUCGUGAUGAACCGGCUGCCACGUUGAGCGCCUGGAAUCCACGGUUCGCUGUUGCGAUCCGGAGUCUCAGGGUAUAAAUCUCAGGUGGAAAGGAAGCGCUCGGAGGUGUACGCGGGAUCCUAUAGGUGCGCGGGUGGUUGAAUCGGCGACAAUUCCUCGACGAAGCUGAGGCUCUGUCGCAGGUCCGCCCUACUGCGACGCCGUGGCAACCUGCACUCGGUGAGAAUCCCUACACAUCUUUGCUUCGUCUUCCUAUACGAGUUGCAUCUCGCCGGGGACCGUUUGGUGCACCAGAGCGCCACCAACCACUCACCGGCCCUGGGUACUCGCCGCCGUGCCGCAACAUCAUGUGGCCAGCGUCACCCGGACAGCAAUUGUAGGUAGUAUUGAAGCGGUUUAGAGGGAUUAGAGAGUGUAUAAAUCUAUAAUAGAUAAAAACUCUCAAAAUACAUCUCAAUCCACUCUAAUUAUUUUCAUUACUAGAGUACCCAAACUAGCUCUAAGGAGGCCGCCUUUAAGAUCGCCACUUCUCUUCACAAAUCUCAGGAUUAGUGGCAGGAUAGGACAUCGGGCACUGGAUCACCGAUCUCCAGUGAACCGCGCCACCGCGGGGGCCUUGCUCCGCCAUGCUGGUGAGCCGGGUAGCGUGGGGAUCGUUAAGGACCGUUGGAUCUUAGAAUUACGGCUCUGAUCGGAUCUGGGCGUUGGUUGACGGGGAGCCGUAGAUCGGCUUGUGGACGCCUCUGAUUAGCAGAAGUGUGCCGAUUCUAUUGAGAAAAUAUGGGGCAUGUUUUAUUCAGCUUUUUUCUGACCAGCUUUUCUGAAAAUCUGGCUGUACGGAGAAUCUGGCUGUGGGGAGAAUUUGAGUAUCAUUACGAUUACGUGUGGAGGAAGAUAAAAUUGUUCAUAGGGCUCAGGAUCUAGAAAGUGACGGAUUCAUACUACUAGUAAUAUACCCGUGCGUUGCGACGGCAUAAAUUAUUGGAUAAAAUAUUAAUAUACAACGAUUAUAUAAACACAGAGAACACAUACAUUUUUUUUGCUAACAUCCAACCAAGUGCCUCUUGAAGGCAAAUGUUCUGGCAUCGUCCAUCUCCUGUAUUGCGUUGUGGUGGUGUCCCUGUUAGGUUCUCCAAGAAGUGGCAGAAGCUCUAAAUGAAAUAUGAAUUAGAAGCUAGUUAACUGACUACAUAGCACAAUUUAAGUAAGAAGAGACUCACACAAUUUGUUUAUGCCAGAUCAAAGAUCUUGACCCUACAUGAGUAGAGUAUGCGUCCAAAACAUUAAAUCUUCAGGCAUUAGUCCAAAGCCGAUCUGGUUUGUUAAUCCAAAAAUAAAGUUUUAGGAACCAAUAACAAAACAUAUGGCACACAAACAUCAGUUAAGAAUAUAAGAAACGAAACUUGAGCAUAGAGCAGGGGACAUGGACAGGUAACUCCUUCGAGAAAAAAAACAAUUUAGAACAUAAAUUUGUGCAUCUAAAAGAAUUUCACAACAACUUUGGCUUGCAAAUAAAGAAUAUUAAAAAUAUAUGAAUUUCGUAUCAAUUUCACAAAUUUUAGACAUGUGUCCAUCAAGCAUGGAUUUCAUCAAUGAAAAAUCUAUAGUAGUUCAAGGAAACAUGCGGUGGCAUCCUAGCAUAUCUAAUUAUAUUGAUUUCUAUAACAUUUUGGAUAUAUUGAUUUCUAUAACAUUUUGGUAUAUCCAUGGCCAUGGUGAGAGGCUACGUGCAUGCAAAAUAUUGACAACAAUUGUGCUUGCUAACAAAAAAAUAGGAAACAAAUGUAAAUUUCCAUCACAAUCUAAUUAAAAAAACAACGUCUAAGAAAGAUUAGGUGGUCAAGAAGUAUUACGUGGAAGUAAUCGGUGUCUUACCAUUCUUUCAUGAGUACAUAAAUUAUUUUGAACCUGUAAAAGCAAUAAAAAUGUAUUUGCUACCGUUUUUAUAUACCAUAUGAGUACAUUAUGCAACUAAGAUUCAAACCUUGACUUAUGCAUAAUAUUACUUUAUUUUUGCAUAAAGUGGGGAAAGUGACGUAAAACAACCGUGGGCUUUGGAAAUAAAAUUAAUAAGACCUCACUCAGUGGAUUUAGAGUACAUUUGGUAGAUAUCUAGAAUUUUACAGAGACAUUUUUAGAUCCGGAUUCUCUUGAUGAACGUUUCUUAUAUUGAAUCAGAAUCAUUUUAUAAGUCUGUUUGGCUGGUAGGUUAAAUUGUUCUUCAUAAUAAGAAACUCUUUUCAUAACAAAUAUAUGAAUAAAAAUGUACUUUGGUUUUUUUUUCAGAACUUUUCAGUAUCUUAAAUAAAUACAUUUUUACUUGUUACAGCUGAACAAGAUAAUUAAAGAAAUAAUCGCUAGUGUGUGCAAAAGAUCAGAAACCAAAACGCUCGAAUCCAGCUUGAAUGUUUGGCUCCUUUUCCCCAUGCAUGACGGUGUAGCCUCCGCUAAUCUCUCGGUGUAUGGUUCGAUCGGAAGGAGUCGUAGAAGUGGCCAGCAGUCAUGGCAGAUCCAAACUACAUGCGCUCCUUAUCGCUUGCCGCCGUCGCACCCCCAUGACGCGCGCGAUCGACCUUCACACCGUUUCGUCCUCCCGCUCCCACUCCUGCACGUGCAUCCGCCGUUGAUGUUGUGCCGCCUCUCAUGCCGUUAUAUUCAACUCAUCCUCCUCUGCCGACCUCGCGGAGCUGGAGACAUCGUCAGGGCUGGACCAUCCGCAGGCGCCCGCCCACUUCAACCACUACCUGGAGCAGUACGACGGCACCACCAACCUCCUCCGCGACACGCUGGACAACCUCAAGGCGAAGAUCUACGGCAAGGCCAUGGAGCAGCUGACCACCAUGAUGGGCACCUCCGAGAGCUGUGAGAACGCGUGGAAGGGCAAGCAGGCGUCGCCGACAACCUCAAGACAAAGAUCUACGACAAGACCAUGGAGCAGCUCCGAUGAAGAUAUAUGAUAAUGCCAUGGAGCAGCUGACCGCCAUGAUCGACGCCUCUGAGAGCCUCUGAGAGCCUCUGAGAGCUGCGAGAACGCGUGGAAGGGUGAGGAGGAUUCACUUUCGUAUUUCAUCCUGGACGAAAGGGGAGUAUAUAUAAUAAUAACGGCGCCAUUAAAUCCGUAUUCACGGCCCCCUGAAAGCCGCAGAUGCUCCUCAUCCCCCGCUAAGUAGAUAACUACUUGCCACGGAUAACUACUACUUGUGAUGACUGCAGGUUGCGUAGAGCUUGUGAUGACUGUAGGAUGCAGAACUGCUGUGGUUGUUGCCUUGUUAGACGGGAGCACAUGCUGCUUCUUCGGUGCGGCAUGCGCGAGAUAUGAUGGGAGCGCGACAUGCAUGGGAGAGAUGGCCGGGCAGGGCUUGAUCUGAAGGGACGACGGGUUUAUUUUGGAGGAAUGUAAGGGAUAUUUUUGUAAAAUAUUGACGCACGACAACCGUUGAAACUGGUGCAUUAUAGUAGUAUAGAUUACAACGACUCAACCGAUUAUGUGUUUAUGUUGAUUUUGGAUGGUUUUUG
rnacentral:lncRNA from 1 species